rnacentral:rRNA from 1 species
GACAGAGGGUGCAAACGUUGUUCGGAAUUACUGGGCGUAAAGCGCACGUAGGCGGAUCGAUCAGUCAGGGGUGAAAUCCCAGGGCUCAACCCUGGAACUGCCUUUGAUACUGUCGAUCUGGAGUAUGGAAGAGGUGAGUGGAAUUCCGAGUGUAGAGGUGAAAUUCGUAGAUAUUCGGAGGAACACCAGUGGCGAAGGCGGCUCACUGGUCCAUUACUGACGCUGAGGUGCGAAAGCGUGGGGAGCAAACAGGG